rnacentral:tRNA from 1 species
GUCGAUAUGGCGGAAUGGUAGACGCGCAAGAUUCAGGUUCUUGUGUUUUUAUAAACUUGAGAGUUCAAGUCUCUCUAUCGACACCA